rnacentral:rRNA from 1 species
UACGUAGGGUGCGAGCGUUGUCCGGAAUUAUUGGGCGUAAAGGGCUCGUAGGCGGUUUGUCGCGUCGGGAGUGAAAACAUCGGGCUUAACUCGAUGCUUGCUUUCGAUACGGGCAGACUUGAGGUAUGCAGGGGAGAAUGGAAUUCCUGGUGUAGCGGUGAAAUGCGUAGAUAUCUGGAGGAACACCGGUGGCGAAGGCGGCAUCCUGGACCGGCAUUGACGCUGAGGCGCGAAAGCCAGGGGAGCAAACGGG